GACAGAGGAGGCAAGCGUUAUCCGGAAUUAUUGGGCGUAAAGGGUCCGUAGGUGGUUUGGCAAGUCUGGGGUUAAAGCCCGGAGCCUAACUCCGGAUCGGCCCUGGAAACUGCCAGACUAGAGUAAGGUAGGGGUUGCGGGAAUUCCCGGGGUAGCGGUGAAAUGCGUAGAUAUCGGGAAGAACACCAGUGGCGAAGGCGCGCAACUGGGCCAUUACUGACACUGAGGGACGAAAGCUAGGGGAGCGAAUGCG
rnacentral:rRNA from 1 species